CUGCCACAUAGUGUGGGUCUUUUUUCUGGACAUGUUAUCUCAUUUAUUUUGUUCGACCACCCCCAGAAAUUGCUGCACAGAGACUUGAUACGUUCCACGUUCGCCUUACUCAGCCCAGGAAGGUCUCUCACAGAUUGACUUGGAAAGUCAUUUAGUUCCAGUCUCACCUCUAUAAGGUGCUCAAAUUUAGACUGUUGACUCUCUUUCCAAAUGAUGGUAGGCACAAAAUCAUUGCAUUUGUGGCUGAUAGACAAAGAAGACUGCAGAGAAGAAUAGAAGGAAAUUAUUUUCAAGCAUGUCAAGAGAAAAUGACGUGAGAUGUGAAUAUUGGUCAAGAUGGAACACCUUUCAUAGUGGAGUAAUAAAAUUUAGGAUAAAAUAUGUAAGU